UACGGGGGGUGCGAGCGUUGUCCGGAUUCACUGGGCGUAAAGGGCGCGUAGGCGGCUGAAUCAGUCGGUUUGGAAAGUGCGGGGCUCAGCCCCGUGAUCGAACCGGGACGGUUGGGCUGGUGAGCGCGGCAGAGGGGGACGGAAUGCCGGGUGUAGUGGUGAAAUGCGUAGAGAUCCGGCGGAACACCGGUGGCGGAGGCGGUUCCCUGGGCCGUGGCUGACGCUGAGGCGCGAGAGCGUGGGGAGCGAACCGG
rnacentral:rRNA from 1 species